rnacentral:sRNA from 2 species
AAAUAAGGUUUCUAGGGUUCCGAUCAACGAUGAUGUCUGGACCGAGAGUAACCGACCUUCACAGUGAAGGUUACACGGAGGGAUAAAAGCCCGGGAGAU